rnacentral:rRNA from 1 species
UACGGAGGGUGCGAGCGUUGUCCGGAAUCAUUGGGCGUAAAGGGCGCGUAGGUGGCGCGGUAAGCGUGCGGUGAAAGCCUGGGGCUCAACCCCGGGUCGGCCGUGCGAACUGCUGGGCUUGAGCACUGUAGAGGCAGGCGGAAUUCCGGGUGUAGCGGUGGAAUGCGUAGAGAUCCGGAAGAACACCGGUGGCGAAGGCGACCUGCUGGGCAGUUGCUGACACUGAGGCGCGACAGCGUGGGGAGCAAACAGG